GGGCCUAUAGCUCAGCUGGUUAGAGAGCGCACGCCUGAUAAGCGUGAGGUCGAUGGUUCGAGUCCAUUUAGGCCCA
rnacentral:tRNA from 1 species